rnacentral:rRNA from 1 species
UACGUAGGGUGCUAGCGUUGUCCGGAAUCAUUGGGCGUAAAGCGCGCGUAGGCGGCCCGGUAAGUCCGCUGUGAAAGUCCAGGGCUCAACCCUGGAAAGCCGGUGGAUACUGUCGGGCUCGAGUCCGGAAGAGGCGAGUGGAAUUCCUGGUGUAGCGGUGAAAUGCGCAGAUAUCAGGAGGAACACCAAUUGCGAAGGCAGCUCGCUGGGACGUAACUGACGCUGAGACGCGAAAGCGUGGGGAGCAAACAGG